UACGUAGGGGGCAAGCGUUGUCCGGAAUCAUUGGGCGUAAAGCGCGCGUAGGCGGCCCGGUAAGUCCGCUGUGAAAGUCCAGGGCUCAACCCUGGAAAGCCGGUGGAUACUGUCGGGCUCGAGUCCGGAAGAGGCGAGUGGAAUUCCUGGUGUAGCGGUGGAAUGCGCAGAUAUCAGGAGGAACACCGAUGGCGAAGGCAGCUCGCUGGGACGGUACUGACGCUGGGGCGCGAAAGCGUGGGGAGCGAACAGG
rnacentral:rRNA from 1 species